CACGCAUGACUCCCUUGUUGGGUCCUUUUACAAUAUCCGACUCAAUUAGAGCUUCCAAGGCAUUAAUACAAAUCUAGAAUUUUAACAAAAAAACAAAACAAAAAAACAAGAACUUUGCAAAUCACACUCCAAACUUUGAUUACAAUUAAACAUAAUGAUGAAUUAAAGCUGUUACCUAUAGAUUCAGAUUACUUCUACAUAAAAAAUGUUAUUGCUAGAGGUAAUUACUGCGGGUGUUCUGAGUUAUAACCCGAGUUCAAAUCGGCCAGAUUUGUAACUCAACAACAUAGAGAUUUAACUUUCAAAUUUAAGAAAAUUAGACUUAGUCUAUCUAGAUUCAAACUUACUUUUUUGGCGAGAAAGAUAAUAUUGCAUUAAACAUAAUUAAAGUGACUAUAGAGAGGGUGAUGCGUAUGUAUCUGUACUAGAGUUUUUUCAUAGAUGUCUACUAAAUACUACUACUAUCUAUUCUAUCAGAAUUAUCCAUCACACUGUUGCCAUUGGAAGCAGCCAUGCUUAGAUCAUUGUGAUGGAUUUCAAAAGUGUUCUAAUCCACGUCCUCCGCUUGUUCCUGCAGUGUGCAUGUUGUCUUCCUAAUACGAGUUUGUCCAAUCUGGUCCUUUUGCAAAAAAGUGCUGACAAAAUCCGGCGGUUCUUCAAAAAUAAAUGGUUUAUCAUGAGAGGCCAUGUUACAUUCUGCUUUAGCUAAACCAUCAGCCACCUUAUUCCCCUCUCUGUAGAUGUGUGCAAUGGUAGCACUAUGCAGUUGGGCCAGGAGGUACCUGCAGUCAUCUAGUAUGUUAGUGUAAACAAUGUUAUCAUUUUGUAACAUUUUCAGUACCUCUAAAGCAUCGAUGUUUUUUUCCAGUGGAACCAAGUUGUAUGUCUUUGCCAAUUCCAGUCCAUUGAAAAAAGCCUUUAAUUCUGCUUGGAUGGUGGUGGCAUUGACCAACUUGCCUGCAAACCCUAUAAUCUAGUUUUCAUUUUGAGUCACGUAUGGCUCCUCCUAUACCUGUUUUCUGAGUUAACGUUGAAGCUGCCCCAUCAUUAUUUAAUUUAUAGUAAUUUUGUUUAGAGGGUAUCCAUUUGAUAGGUUACAUUAUAGGAUUUUUUGUUAUUGGCAUGUUGGUAGCGAAAUAUGUAAAUUCCAGUGCAUUAUUAGUAAGUAUGUUAGUUGAUAGUCGUUAUUGUGUAUUAUUAAAAGAUUUAUUGUUACCAUUAAUCCAAAUGUGCCAUAAGGUACAUGAAAUAAAAGUUUUAGUAUUUAUACAGUGUGGCAUGUUGUUGUACUUUGUAUUAAUGAAUUUCAUCAGCCAAUCUGAUAGAUGAGGGUGUGUAAGUAUAUUGUUGGUAAAGUGUGCCAUACCCAAGUCAUUCCAUAUAUGUAUUAUGUUGGGACAUUGUAAAAAGAUGUGAUUAAUAGUUUCUGUAUGUGUGCGACAUAUUUGACAUUGGUCGUCCAAUGUUAUUCCUAUAUGAUGUAGGUAUUUUUUUGUUGGUAAAUCUAUCAUGUAUUAUAAGCCAAAGAAAUAUUUUUAUUUUGGGUGUUAUUUGAAUCUUCCAAAUCCAAUUGUAAGGAGUUGUUUGUUCUUGUAAGUUUAACUCCUCUUGUAGUAAUUGUGAAUACAUAGAUUUGACAGUAAAUUUUCCAUUAUUCGAUAAUACCCAAUAGACAGUGUCCACUUUGUUUGUGUAGAUAAGUACAUUAAUUCUAUUGAAUUUAUUUUUAAGAGAAUUUGUAAGAUGAAAUGGUAUUUCUGCCCAUUUCCAAUUGGUUUGAUCUCUAUAAGUUCUAAUAUUUCGCGUAUUAUGCUCUAAAGGUAUAUGACCAUGUACUAAGGAUCUAAGUGUUGUGUUUGGAGUAAUCCAUGCCUCCGUCCAAAAGUUUAAUUUUUAAUUUGUACCUACUUUCCAUUGAAUGUCAUGUUGCCAUUUUUCCCAGCCUGAAAUAAUAUUGUGCCAAAUAUGAGAAGAGUUUUCUAUUACACGUUUGUUCUUAUAUUUCUGAAUAAGAGUGUUUGCCCAUAGUUGUUUUGACGAAUGAAUUAUCCGCCAUGCUAAUCCUGCCAGUAAUGCCUUGUAUUUUAAAUCCAGCCUCUGUAUACCUAGACCUCCUAAAUAUUUAGGCAUGGUAACUCUUUUUCAGUUCACUAAGUGAAUCUUUCUUUUUUGUUGUGUAGUUUCCCAUAAGAAAUUGAGCAUGUAUUGCUCCAUUUUAUCAAUAAUAUUUUUAUGGAUUGCAAUGUAUUGCAUUAUGUGGUUUGCUAAAGUAGAAAGUGUUGAUUUAAUGAGGAAAAUUCUUCCUGGGAGUGAUAGGAAGUUUGUUUUCCAACCUGCAAGUCUAGCCUUGAAGUUAUCUAAUAAAAAAUGGAAAUAUGAGUUAUUAGGUCUAUGUUGAAACAUGGGAAAUCCUAAGUAUUUUUCAAGCUGUUUUCUUCAUGCAUACUAAAGCAAGAUAGUAUAUUUUAUUUUGCUUCAAUGUUGCAAUUAUUUGAGAAAAAGAUUCUUGAUUUUUGGAAAUUAAUAGUUUGCCCGGAUAGUUUAAUAAAAGUAUUAAGAGUGUCAAUUAUUGUGUUGCAGCUAUUAUCAUUUACUUUAGACAAAAGGAUGAUGUCGUCUGCAAAAAAAAAGAUGUGAUAGUUGAGGGCCAUUUUGUGAGAUUUGUAUGGGUUUCCAUAAUAGAUAAUCCAUAACAGAUUAAUGACUAAGAAAACUUGUUCAACACAAUUAUACAUUCACAACAAGAAAAUGAGUUCUGUUGCCUAUUCAUGUUAAAGCUCAAAGAAACAAUCACCAAGUUUUCAAAGAAUCACAAAUAGAGACAUCGGCAGUUUGCACUUAGCUAAACGAUUGCGAUUUCAACUAAGAUCUUUAGCUAUUCACCACAAAAUCGAAUGGAUUUAGUCAACAAACCAAAUUUGAAUAUAGUCAAAUAUAGCAGUCACGUCACUCAAAGUUUAUUCUCUAAUCACACCUAAACGAGAUUCCAAAACGCUAUUCCAACUUAAUUGAACCGUGGCUCUUAUCACAUUCGAAUCAACACCAAAGAAUAAAAUAAGAAAAAUGAUCAGAAAAAGGAACCUGAAAUUGAGCUUUCGAUUAAACUUCGGCCGUGAAUAUACAAUGAGAAAUCCAGUAGCAAACUGGAAUC
rnacentral:lncRNA from 1 species